UCUGUACAUGAUAUGUCCUUUAGUGUAUAUUUUCAAGACAUUUAUUGCAGCAUUCUAUGUGGAAGCAAACAAUUGGAACCAUCCUUGUUACUGAUUACUAAAAAUAACAAUGUAAAUGUAGGAUAUGUGUAAUACAUACGAUGCCAUAAUAGGUAGCAAAACAAAUAUGUAUAAACUAGAGGCCCUCAGAGCAUUUUGAUGGAUCUUAAAACAUGAAGUUGAGCACAAACAAGAAUAAAAAUAAAAUGUCAUUGUAUUAUCAUUUCUCAAUCACAUUUAUGCAUGUAAACAAUGAAGAUAUGCAAGAAAAAUACAUUAUACUUAAAAGCAUACAUAUAUAUUCAACAUAUGUGUGUAGACACAUAUAUUCAAUUUUUCAUGCCCAAAGCGUUAGAAUAGCUCUAUUUUUGUUUUUCCUCUCACUAUUGCAGACUUGUAGUACAAGAA